GUGAUUAGAGGGUUGAAUCUUUCAGCUCUGCCCACCGACCUCUGGGAAAGGGUUGAGGCUAGAAGCAAAGCUAUAUCAGAUUUCUUAAACAAGUCAAUUUUUUAGGCCAAUAUUUAAUUUUUAACUUUAAGGUGCAAAUAAAUAGAAAGGGAAAACUACAUUGACAACAGCUGCUAAGGAAGUACAAGAGCCAGAACAGAAAUUCUUCAAAAACAGAAGAGACGGUCCCUAGAAGCUUGCAGGGUGGUGUUCCGUGGGUCUGGCCCGCACCCCAGGCCCACGCAGAGACGCAGAAGGGGCCACUGGCCCCGAGGAGGAUGGCUGCCAGCAGGGUCUGGUUCAGGAAUUCCGACUGGAUGAUGCCCACCACAUUGAGGAAGACCCUCUGCUUUACUCAGUUCACCAAAUGCUGAUCUCCUGGAAACACCCUCGCAGACACACCCAGAAAAUAGUGUUUUCCCAGCUGUCUGGGUGUCCCAUAGCCCAGUCCAGUUGACACAUAAAAAUCAACCAUUGUAACCAGUGUGAACCGGUUUCUGUUGCUUGUUCUGGAUGAUACACUCCCCAGCUUUGGCUGGGGGACAAUGUGAGGUCCCUGGGACCUUCUCCAGCCUAGUGGAGCCCGGAGAUGUAGCCACUCACCCUGUCUCUGAGGCCCUGGGCUUCAGAUGAACGGAGCCUCUGUCUGCAUAGUGGGAAGUUGAGGCAGGCAGAGAAUGCUCAAAACACCUGCUACUUACACCCGCCCACCCAGGCAGCCUGUAACAUGGAGAUUUUGCAAUGAUAGAGAGUGAAAGCAGAAUUCAAAAAUAAACUCCGUUAGCUUCUUUCUCAAACUCUGUGGAUAUCCAGGAUGUGCUAAAUGUGUAAAGCAGAGUACCACAUCCUCCAACCUCUCCAGGGACCAAGGGUUCUAAGGUCAUGCAUUUGGACAAGUACCCAUUUCUUACAUUUGAUGAAACUUACCCCAAGGCAUUGGGGAAAAUAAAAUGAAGACCUACACAUCAGAAUGGACCAUGUCAGGAAUGUCAACAGUCCAGCUACAAACCCAGGUCACCCACUGAAAAGGAAUGAAGGUAAACUGCUUUGUUCAAUCAGAAAUCUCGGCAAGAACAAUUUCAAACCAUACUGACAAUAAAUUACCAACAGUCUGCUGUUAAGGAUUUCAAGAUGGCUGCUGCGCCUCUGUGCAUCACAUCUGUGUUCCAGACAAAUACAGGGGGAGGUAUAGAAGGCUGAUGAAGACCAGUUGUCUGUCUCUAAAAAAAAAAAAAAAAGAAAAGAAAAGAAAAGAAAAAAAAAACCCA